GGUGGGUUGGCUCAGUGGUUAGAGCUUAGGUCUUGUGAUCAGAAGGUUCCCAGGAUCGAAUCCCGCCAGAGAUAG
rnacentral:tRNA from 1 species